rnacentral:rRNA from 1 species
AAUCAACGCUGGCGGCGUGCCUCAGACAUGCAAGUCGAACGCGAAAGCCCCCUUCGGGGGGCAAGUAGAGUGGCGCACGGGUGAGUAACACGUAGGUAAUCUACCUUUGGAUGGGGAAUAACAACCGGAAACGGUUGCUAAUACCGCAUAAUGCAGCGGCACCUAAUGGUGACAGUUGUUAAAGCGGGGGAUCGCAAGACCUCGCGUCUGAAGAGGAGCCUGCGGCAGAUUAGCUAGUUGGUAAGGUAAAGGCUUACCAAGGCGAUGAUCUGUAGCCGGCCUGAGAGGGCGGUCGGCCACACUGACACUGACAUACGGGUCAGACUCCUACGGGAGGCAGCAGUCGGGAAUUUUGGGCAAUGGGCGAAAGCCUGACCCAGCAACGCCGCGUGAAGGAUGAAAUCCCUCGGGAUGUAAACUUCGCAAGAACGGGAAGAAUAAGUGAGAGUUAACACCUCUUACGAUGACGGUACUGUUUGUAAGCUCCGGCUAACUCCGUGCCAGCAGCCG